UGAGGUUGCCCGACGUCCUCGGCGGCACCAUGC
rnacentral:tRNA from 1 species